UGCAUGGUUGUCGUCAGCUCGUGCCGUGAGGUGUCGGGUUAAGUCCCACUAACGAGCGCAACCCCUACCUUUAGUUGCCAUCAGGUAAUGCUGGGGACGUCUAAAGGAACUAGCCUACGCAAGUAGUGAGGAAGGCGGGGAGUGACGUCAAAUCAGCACGGCCCUUACGUCCAGGGCUACACACGUGCUACAAUGGCCGAUACAGAGGGCAGCUACCUGGUGACAGGAUGCAAAUCUCCAAAGUCGGUCUCAGUUCGGAUCGGAGUCUGCAACCCGACUCCGUGAAGUUGGAUUCGCUAGUAAUCGCGCAUCAGCCAUGGCGCGGUGAAUACGUUCCCGGGCCUU
rnacentral:rRNA from 1 species